rnacentral:rRNA from 1 species
AUUGAACGCUGGCGGCAGGCCUAACACAUGCAAGUCGAGCGGUAGAGAGGUGCUUGCAUCUCUUGAGAGCGGCGGACGGGUGAGUAAUGCCUAGGAAUCUGCCUAGUGGUGGGGGAUAACGUUCGGAAACGGACGCUAAUACCGCAUACGUCCUACGGGAGAAAGCGGGGGAUCUUCGGACCUCGCGCCAUUAGAUGAGCCUAGGUCGGAUUAGCUAGUUGGUGAGGUAAUGGCUCACCAAGGCGACGAUCCGUAACUGGUCUGAGAGGAUGAUCAGUCACACUGGAACUGAGACACGGUCCAGACUCCUACGGGAGGCAGCAGUGGGAAUAUUGGACAAUGGGCGAAAGCCUGAUCCAGCCAUGCCGCGUGUGUUGAAGAAGGUCUUCGGAUUGUAAAGCACUUUAAGUUU